UGUUUUCACGAAGUGACGGUAGUGAGGAAAAUCGCAUACAUUUUCACUUUUGAUUUUUUUGCAUUUUUGGACAUCAUUCACUAACAUCUUGAACCUCACAAAAUUUCAGAUCAUAAUAAUGUCUAAUUAUGUCACUAUGACGAUGACGUAAACAAGAAAAUGCAUAGCAAAAGGAUUUUCUGUUUUCACGAAGUGACGGCCAAGUACGCGCUUAACAGCCGUCAAUUCGUGAAAACAUCGUUUGCUCUUUUCCUGCUUUUAAUAUUUUCACGAAGUGACGGUAGUGAAAAUUUCGCAGUUUGGAACAGUCACAGACCAUGAAAAGUUUCAGAUGCAGUAGAUACAAUUUGCACUUAUAUGAAGAAAGCACUGGGAAAGUACAUCUACUUUUCAAGAAUGCCACAGGCCAGACACAAAUCCAGAUUGGAUACAGGGACCGACAUGCUGGUAAGAUGGGUCCUUGAUAAUUCACUGAACACAGAGCUGCAGAUGUGACUCGGCAUAGUGACCUAAGAGUGGGAGCGGUAUGGAACCGUUGAAGCAAUUCACCGAACACUGUUGAAGCAAUUCACCGAACACAGUCAGAGCUGCAUGUGUGACUUGGCAUGGUGACCCUUAAAGUCUCCUGACGGCUCCGAUUGCGAUUCUGAUGAUGACCCAUUGUCUAUGCUUGUGAGCGAGUCAAAAGCAGUCUAGAUCAAGGAUCUUCUCUGCUUCAACCAAUAUCGCUUGGAUGACAUUAUGUGUGAAGAAACUUGAAGAACUUGUGUUGAAGGGCAUGCUUGAGAAACUAGAAUCAAUUACAUUGAUCGUUUUGGCAAUGCUUCAAUGUUUCAAUACCUCGAUCUCUCUUUUAUACUGUAUGAUUUUAAACAUUUUGAAUAUCAUAAAUAAAGCAAACUCCACUCAUAAUUGUAAUUGUGUGUACUAGUAAUCACAAUGAAAUGGAUUGAUUAUAAAAUCAAUGAAUUGAUUUAAAGCAAACUGGUAACAUUUUCCAUGAGUUCUGAAACAAUUAACUGAAUGGUCGUACAGGCGUCAGUUUUCUGUUACAGUAUUGUAAUGAACUCCUGCAAACAUAAAUCUUUAAUAUUUAAAUGUAUAGCUCAGAACUGCUAUUUAUCAGGUAUACCUACCUCAAUCAGUAAUGCAUAUUAGAGUUUUCGAUUCCAGUUCCAUGAAUCCUCAUAUCGUAUCUUUGUAUUGAAGAAUUUGUUUAUCCAUUUUCUUUAAAUGUUUGUAU